AUUGAACGCUGGCGGAAUGCUUUACACAUGCAAGUCGAACGGCAGUACGGGUGCUUGCACCUGGUGGCGAGUGGCGAACGGGUGAGUAAUACAUCGGAACGUACCCAGUUGUGGGGGAUAACUAACCGAAAGGUUAGCUAAUACCGCAUACGACCUGAGGGUGAAAGCGGGGGACCGUAAGGCCUCGCGCAAUUGGAGCGGCCGAUGUCUGAUUAGCUAGUUGGUAGGGUAAAGGCCUACCAAGGCGACGAUCAGUAGCUGGUCUGAGAGGAUGAUCAGCCACACUGGAACUGAGACACGGUCCAGACUCCUACGGGAGGCAGCAGUGGGGAAUUUUGGACAAUGGGCGAAAGCCUGAUCCAGCCAUUCCGCGUGAGUGAAGAAGGCCUUCGGGUUGUAAAGCUCUUUCGGCAGGGAAGAAACGGCCUAGGUUAAUACCUUGGGCUAAUGACGGUACCUGAAGAAGAAGCACCGGCUAACUACGUGCCAGCAGCCGCCGUAA
rnacentral:rRNA from 1 species